UCUGCCCGCUGGCGGCGUGCCUAAUACAUGCAAGUCGAGCGAACAGACGAGGAGCUUGCUCCUCUGACGUUAGCGGCGGACGGGUGAGUAACACGUGGAUAACCUACCUAUAAGACUGGGAUAACUUCGGGAAACCGGAGCUAAUACCGGAUAAUAUAUUGAACCGCAUGGUUCAAUAGUGAAAGACGGUUUUGCUGUCACUUAUAGAUGGAUCCGCGCCGCAUUAGCUAGUUGGUAAGGUAACGGCUUACCAAGGCAACGAUGCGUAGCCGACCUGAGAGGGUGAUCGGCCACACUGGAACUGAGACACGGACCAGACUCCUACGGGAGGCAGCAGUAGGGAAUCUUCCGCAAUGGGCGAAAGCCUGACGGAGCAACGCCGCGUGAGUGAUGAAGGUCUUCGGAUCGUAAAACUCUGUUAUUAGGGAAGAACAAAUGUGUAAGUAACUAUGCACGUCUUGACGGUACCUAAUCAGAAAGCCACGGCUAACUACGUG
rnacentral:rRNA from 1 species